rnacentral:ncRNA from 1 species
AAUGGCCGAGAUAAAGGAUCGCGAUCCCACGAUGGUGAGCUAACUCAAUAAACUCGUCAUUAGUUCGGAUUGCAGGUUGCAACUUAUCUACAUAAAG